rnacentral:rRNA from 1 species
CCUACGGGAGGCAGCAGUAGGGAAUCUUCCACAAUGGGCGAAAGCCUGAUGGAGCAACGCCGCGUGGGUGAAGAAGGUCUUCGGAUCGUAAAACCCUUUUGUUAGAGAAGAAAGUGCGUGAGAGUAACUGUUCACGUUUCGACUGUAUCUAACCAGAAAGCCACGGCUAACUACGUGCCAGCAGCCGCGGUAAUACGUAGGUGGCAAGCGUUAUCCGGAUUGAUUGGGCGUAAAGGGAACGCAGGCGGUCUUUUAAGUCUGAUGUGAAAGCCUUCGGCUUAACCGGAGUAGUGCAUUGGAAACUGGGAGACUUGAGUGCAGAAGAGGAGAGUGGAACUCCAUGUGUAGCGGUGAAAUGCGUAGAUAUAUGGAAGAACACCAGUGGCGAAAGCGGCUCUCUGGUCUGUAACUGACGCUGAGGUUCGAAAGCGUGGGUAGCAAACAGGAUUAGAUACCCGAGUAGUC